GACGAACGCUGGCGGCGUGCUUAACACAUGCAAGUCGAACGGAAAGGCCCUGCUUUUGUGGGGUGCUCGAGUGGCGAACGGGUGAGUAACACGUGAGUAACCUGCCCUUGACUUUGGGAUAACUUCAGGAAACUGGGGCUAAUACCGGAUAGAAGCUCCUGCUGCAUGGUGGGGGUUGGAAAGUUUCGGCGGUUGUGGAUGGACUCGCGGCUUAUCAGCUUGUUGGUGGGGUAGUGGCUUACCAAGGCUUUGACGGGUAGCCGGCCUGAGAGGGUGACCGGCCACAUUGGGACUGAGAUACGGCCCAGACGCCUACGGGAGGCAGCAGUGGGGAAUAUUGCACAAUGGGCGGAAGCCUGAUGCAGCAACGCCGCGUGCGGGAUGACGGCCUUCGGGUUGUAAACCGCUUUCGCAUGUGACGAAGCGUGAGUGACGGUAAUGGGUAAAGAAGCACCGGCUAACUACGUG
rnacentral:rRNA from 1 species